rnacentral:misc_RNA from 1 species
AAACUCCUCCAUCAGACUCAUCCUCGCAAUAUCACAUAUUUGAUUCUUCAAAGAGGUUUUUAUAUUGGUAGAUAAAAAUAUCUUAGACUUGGCAAGAUUCACCUUCUGCCCGAAGCUACCCGAAAGGAAAGAAGACAUUCCUUGACAACUUGAAAUUGAUGUACUAAGGCAUGUGCAAAUAGAAGGAGGUAUCUGCUAAAAAAUAGAUGCGAAAGAAAAGGAUCCCUUCUAGA